CCCUUAGAUGUUCUGGGCUGCACACGCGCUACACUGAAGGGAUCAGCGUGUUCUUUUCCUGGUCCGAAAGGAUCGGGUAACCCGCUGAACCCCCUUCGUGGUAGGGAUCGGAGCUUGCAAUUAUUCUCCGUGAACCAGGAAUUCCCAGUAAGCGCAAGUCAUAAGCUUGCGUUGAUUACGUCCCUGCCCUUUGUACACACCGCCCGUCGCUACUACCGAUUGGACGUUUUAGUGAGGAUUUUGGACUGAGCCAAUGGUGGUUCAUACCACUGUUGUGCAUGGAAAGAUCUCCAAACUUGAGCGUUUAGAGGAAGUAAAAGUCGUAACA
rnacentral:rRNA from 1 species